rnacentral:lncRNA from 1 species
AUUGCCAUAACAGCCAUAGCAGAAGUGUUCAAGUCAUGGCCCAUGUCAGAUUCCAAUGGAUCUGGUAAAUAACUU